AAAUGAAUUGACGGGGGCCCGCACAAGCGGUGGAGCAUGUGGUUUAAUUCGAUGCAACGCGAAGAACCUUACCAAGGCUUGACAUCCUCUUGACCGGCAUAGAGAUAUGCCUUCCCUUCGGGGCAAGAGUGACAGGUGGUGCAUGGUUGUCGUCAGCUCGUGUCGUGAGAUGUUGGGUUAAGUCCCGCAACGAGCGCAACCCUUGUCUUUAGUAGCUAGUAGCGCAAGCUAAGCACUCUAGAGAGACUGCCGUGGAUAACACGGAGGAAGGUGGGGAUGAGGUCAAAUCAUCAUGCCCUUUAUGCCUUGGGCAACACACGUGCUACAAUGGCGGCUACAAAGUGAUGCAAGCAGGCGACUGUGAGCUAAGCACAAAAAAGCCGUCUCAGUUCGGAUUGGAGUCUGCAACUCGACUCUAUGAAGUUGGAAUCGCUAGUAAUCGCGAAUCAGCAUGUCGCGGUGAAUACGUUCCCGGGCCUUGUACACACCGCCCGU
rnacentral:rRNA from 1 species